GACGAACGCUGGCGGCGUGCUUAACACAUGCAAGUCGAACGGAAAGGCCCUGCUUUUGUGGGGUGCUCGAGUGGCGAACGGGUGAGUAACACGUGAGUAACCUGCCCUUGACUUUGGGAUAACUUCAGGAAACUGGGGCUAAUACCGGAUAGGAGCUCCUGCUGCAUGGUGGGGGUUGGAAAGUUUCGGCGGUUGGGGAUGGACUCGCGGCUUAUCAGCUUGUUGGUGGGGUAGUGGCUUACCAAGGCUUUGACGGGUAGCCGGCCUGAGAGGGUGACCGGCCACCUUGGGACUGAGAUACGGCCCAGACUCCUACGGGAGGCAGCAGUGGGGAAUAUUGCACAAUGGGCGGAAGCCUGAUGCAGCAACGCCGCGUGCGGGAUGACGGCCUUCGGGUUGUAAACCGCUUUCGCCUGUGACGAAGCGUGAGUGACGGUAACGGGUAAAGAAGCACCGGCUAACUACGUG
rnacentral:rRNA from 1 species